ACUCCGGUGGCCUAGUGGUUACAGCGUCCGCCUCGGAUGCGGGAGGUCGUGGGUUCGAACCCAGGCUGAGUU